CUGACAUCCCUGGAAACUAAAAUCCUUUAUGCACACAAUAGGUACAGUGGAAGCAUUCAUGCAGGGUCUUGACAAUAAGCCUCAGCCCUGACCUGGAGGGAUCACCUCUAUUAGUGGCAGAGUAGUUCUAUUCUCCAUGGCUCAUUCAGUCCUUGGCUUCA
ensembl:misc_RNA